CCUCUUCCAGAUUCAGUCUUCAUUGCCUCUCACAAUCAUGGUGUCCCAUACUCAAAUAGAAGCUAGUUUCCAUGUGCCUGAUUACCCAGAGGUGACCAGUUACCAACUCAUGCAUACUGGCAGCCUUUGCACUCCUUGUAGAUAGGAACUACUGGGAUCUUUCCAGGGAAAUACUAUUAUUUUAAAAUUUCUUCCUUUCUCUGGUAUUAUUGGAGGUGGCAGAGGGAACUCUCUUUCAUGAUUUUCUGGUAUUGACUGCCUUUUCACUUUUUUCUAGCUCAAUAAUACACCAAUCUCUUCUCGGCUGUCAUUUGCAGAAAUGACUGGAAAACAGUUUAUGGGGAAAAUACCUAGGGGUGAUAAUAAAUUGCAAAAUGAUAUGGAAGCAAAAAAGUGGAUUGUGGCCAGAUAUGAAGAGGAAAUGGAUCUCAUUUUUGUGUCAUUUCUAAGACAGAAGAGCAAGAUCUUCGCAAACAGGAUUAAGGAUUUAACCAAGAAGAUAUUUGAGGCCAUAUUUGAAGCCAGAUCCUCCUGACUCCAGACUUGGCACUCCAUCCACUGUGCCACCUAGCUGCACCAGCAAUCAUUUAAGGACCUGCUAUGUUCCAGAUCAGGCAGGUGCUGAGUUCCCAUCUGCCUUCAGACGUUUGCUAGCUGUGUGACCCU
rnacentral:lncRNA from 1 species